CUUACAUUACGCCAAGCAGGGCAAAUCUGGGUUUUAAAGAAUUGAUUGUUCCUUUGACUUUUUAGAGCUAUUCGUUUUUAAAACCCAGAGCAAGACCCUAUAGUUACAAACAUAAGUGAAUCAGACAAUUGGAUAAAUAUACAUGCAAAGAACAAGACCCACUGGGAAUGAAAAUGGCUGCAUUUUGUAACACUGUAAUUUAUAACUUGCAUGGCUAGGAAAGGGGCAAUGGAUCCUAAAUUAUCCUUUUUUAUAUAAAAAAAACAUAGUGCAUAACAUCAUCUCCUACACAGAAAAACCAGUGAGUGGCUGAUGUUAUUUCUUCCUAGGUAAGGAAUGGUUUCUGAGAAGAUUGCCCGUGACCUGCCACCCAUCAUACUGAUUUGGGUAUCGUCAGCUGUUUCGUUAAGGGCUGUUGCCACUCCCAGUCACUCGUGGCUCUUCAUUCUUGCUGCACAAUCAGCAUGAGCUGUUGUGGGAACUGAGCCACCCCAUGGGUGAUUGCUGGGCACCAGUGCCACCUGUCAGCUUGGGUUGCCUCCCAGUUAAUGACAGCUAUGCCGCACUUGCAAGACUGCCUCAAAGUGUCCUUGACAGAUUCUGUUUCCUGCUUCAUUUCCCAGUCACGGUGCACAUGCAGUUGGAAUAUUUUACUCCACUUUUUUCAUGCUUUCACAGUUUGUGACUAGAAGUCUGCUGUAAUUCAUAUCCUCGUUCCACUAUAGGUGCAAUGCCUCAUGAAGCAUGACAAGCACCUGACGUGCUUUUCUUCUGAAAUGAGAGAGUUUCUCCUAAUCACUUGCCCAUGCAUACACACAAUGCGUGCUUCGUGAUCCACGGGCCACUUCCAUCUCUUCAGUGGCCUAAGGACAGACAUUAAAAAUAAGCUCAUGAUUUGUAAGAAAAGCAGAUACGGAUGAAUUCCAAAUAACCAUAUCCAACUUACAUAAACCAGCUCAAGAAGACAUUUUACUAAUUUAAUUUCUGUUUACUAGGUAUUGAUUGGAUUGAUCAGUAUUCAUUCAGAUUUGUCCUUGGUUGUGUGUGUUGUGUAUUGAUUCUACUUUUUGUCAGCCUAUUAAUUUUCAAUAAAUAAUGUCUCAGAAAUUGCA
rnacentral:lncRNA from 13 species